AUUAGUUACUGAGGAUUUAUCUCUUAAACCUUGAAGUUUUCCUGCAUGGGGUCUUACAAAGGGUGCUGUAGGUUCUUAAUGACCUGACAGAAGUCUCAUCAAAACACUGUGUAUGCCCUUUCUAACACGGUAGAUUCUGGAGAACACUUUAGCCUCCCUGUUGUGCAGCAGAGAUUUCCCAGAGCCAUUGGCCUGACACUCUUUUGGGAGUUCACCUCCUGAAAACUGUCACAAUGAUCUUUUUCAUCUCCAUUUCAGUCCCUUCCUGACUUAUGAUUGUUUAACCUCCCACAGUAAUUCCCUAGGGGCUUCUCUAACUCAAACCAUUCUUCAACCUCACUCAAACUGUCCAACGUGAAACAUCAGGAAAGAAACACAAAACACAACUGACAAGCUGUCAGUGAACAGAACAGAAAGACAGCAUGAGAACUGGGAGAGCUGAGAACAACUGUUGAACCAUGGAUGUAAUGAUCCCCUUCUUUCCAUCAGCAACAAUGGCAAAUCCUCUGUGCUGAAGACCACAUUUUCUCCCUGGAAAAAUGGAAAUGUUACUGUUUAGACACAGAUCCCUGAAAAAUGGAAUUUUAAUGCAUGUACAUCACAGAUUGUUGGUUUUCUACCCAAAAGCACUGUCCAUGAUUUCAAUAACAACAGGAGUGCAAACUGCAUGCCCCAGCUUGCCCAGAAAGUCAGUGUGGCCAUGUGUAAUGCACAAAAGUGCUGUGAAACAUCUCAAAGGGAUAAGCAUGUGGUUUGCCUGCCUUGUGACUCUGUGUCUCACAAUGGGAGUAACACAGCUUCAGCAAGCAAGUCACGGACAUGAUCACAGCACUGCCGUCCAGGACCUCAAGAUGUGCCUCAGAGAACUGCAGAAUCAGUGUCAUCACAGACAUCAUUAGUGACUGCGGCUGCUGCUGCUGCUGCUGCUGCAAAUCCUUGGACUGUGUAGGAGACAUGCAAGACAUUAUGUGUGGUGAACACCAGAACCGUGCUGGAAAUACAUCUUUGCACCAGACUGACAGAUGGUUUGUCAUAGUGCAGCAUUCCAGAAGACAGUAUGGCAAUAAGGAAGAUGCUUAGGAACUAAAUUAAUGACAACUCUUAGGACAGAAAGAAGGGAGGAAGAAGGAAUGGGAGAGAAGAAAGGAAGAAUAAAGGAAGGAAGAUAUAAAAAAUGAAGAAAAAG
rnacentral:lncRNA from 1 species